GUGGCAUUAUUUUUAAUUCAUUCAUAGGGUCUUGGCAUCAGAACCAAACACAUUUAUUUCAAAACAAGAAUGUGUCCCUAGUAAAUGGAUGCACUAGCACUUUCUAUGUUCUGUGGAUCGUGAAAAUGUGGUAAAAUCUCUUAUUUGGCAUUUAAAAAAAUAUGAAAGAUCAAAUAUCACAGAGAACAUGUGUAUUAAAUUUCAGUUAAGUUACCUCGACCAAAAACUUUAACCUGGAGCAGGACAGAAGGACGGAUGAACAAACAGAAGC
rnacentral:lncRNA from 1 species